CGGUGUGGUGAGUAAGCGCAGUUGUCGUCUCUUGCAGUGCCGUUGCUGGUUCUCACACCUUUUAGGUCUGUUCUGGUCUUCCGUUCCGACUCUCUCUUUUUCGUUGCAGCCACUGAAGAUCCUGGUGUCGCCAUGGGCCGCCGCCCCGCCCGUUGUUACCGGUAUUGUAAGAACAAGCCGUACCCAAAGUCUCGCUUCUGCCGAGGUGUCCCUGGUAAGUAGUGGAAGAGCCCCUGCACUGGUUGGCUCUGCGGACUCAGCGUCCGUCUGUGACACCCCCUGCAUACUUACCCAAUCCUUUUAGAUGCCAAGAUUCGCAUUUUUGACCUGGGGCGGAAAAAGGCAAAAGUGGAUGAGUUUCCGCUUUGUGGCCACAUGGUGUCAGAUGAAUAUGAGCAGCUGUCCUCUGAAGGUAAGGCAGGAUUCUUUGUUCGUCACCCCCCAGUCCUUCCUCCGUGCUCCCUCAACCCCACCCACAUACACCUGCACUGGAAUUGGGAGUUGAUGAAACAUGAGCCUUACAAAACUCAGCCAACACAAUUCCCCCGAGCUGGAGAUAGUCGUGGUGAAUGUUUCUCUAUUAUCUUCUCUCACUUUGCUGCUUUUCUUCUCCCUACCUAGCCCUGGAGGCUGCCCGAAUUUGUGCGAAUAAGUACAUGGUAAAAAGUUGUGGCAAAGAUGGCUUCCAUAUCCGGGUGCGGCUCCACCCCUUCCACGUCAUCCGCAUCAACAAGAUGUUGUCCUGUGCUGGGGCUGACAGGUGAGCUUGGUCUGGGCCUUUUAAGGCAGUUGGAGUCUCUACAUUAUUAGGCUUGCAUUAUUUUAUCAGAGCAUAGAGGUGGCCCCAGUGACUCAGCCACUAUGGCUACUAGAAAAGCCAGGCUGGCAAGUGACUUUCAGUGGUCACUCAGGACCCCUUCCUGUGGACUGUUGCAGAUACAAACAAAGCAUGAGUAAGUCUUAGCAAGCUCUUCCCCACAGGUUAGGGGAAACACUGGUGAUGGGAGUAGCUCUUCUUGCUUUUAGCUGAAUGACAACCAUCUUGCCAGCAGGUAGCUGAAGCUGGCAGAGGAGCCCAGUGGCGCCUUUUCAGUGGUUCUUGGGAUGCUCCGCAGCCAAUUAAGCCGACUGAGUUCCUUUCCUCAUGGGGACCCAGUGUGCAAUGGCUGCACACAGCAGCUUCCUUGGUAGUGUACGCAGCCUGUUGGUUGUAUGGGUUGCUCUAAGGGACCUUGGAGACAGGCCUUUCCGGUGGAUGUUCGUGUUUCUGACCUUGCACUACCCCAAUGUAGGCUCCAAACAGGCAUGCGAGGUGCCUUUGGAAAGCCCCAGGGCACUGUGGCCAGGGUUCACAUUGGCCAAGUUAUCAUGUCCAUCCGCACCAAGCUGCAGAACAAGGAGCAUGUGAUUGAGGCCCUGCGCAGGGCCAAGUUCAAGUUUCCUGGCCGCCAGAAGGUAUGUAGUGCUGCAGCCCCCUUCUCCCACCUUUCUUUGCCCCAGGCCUCCUGACUCAGUUCUUUCCAUUGCUCCGUAGAUCCACAUCUCAAAGAAGUGGGGCUUCACCAAGUUCAAUGCUGAUGAAUUUGAAGACAUGGUGGCUGAAAAGCGGCUCAUCCCAGAUGGCUGUGGGGUCAAGUACAUCCCCAAUCGUGGCCCUCUGGACAAGUGGCGGGCCCUGCACUCAUGAGGGCUUCCAAUGUGCUGCCCCCCUCUUAAUACUCACCAAUAAAUUCUACUUCCUGUCCA
rnacentral:sRNA from 1 species